rnacentral:rRNA from 1 species
GAGUUUGAUCAUGGCUCAGAUUGAACGCUGGCGGCAUGCCUUACACAUGCAAGUCGAGCGGCAGCGCGGGGGCAACCCUGGCGGCGAGCGGCGAACGGGUGAGUAAUACAUCGGAACGUGUCCAGUAGCGGGGGAUAACCUCUCGAAAGAGAGGCUAAUACCGCAUACGACCUACGGGUGAAAGCGGGGGACCGCAAGGCCUCGCACUAUUGGAGCGGCCGAUGUCGGAUUAGCUAGUUGGCGGGGUAAAAGCCCACCAAGGCGACGAUCCGUAGCUGGUCUGAGAGGACGAUCAGCCACACUGGAACUGAGACACGGUCCAGACUCCUACGGGAGGCAGCAGUGGGGAAUUUUGGACAAUGGGGGCAACCCUGAUCCAGCCAUGCCGCGUGAGUGAAGAAGGCCUUCGGUUGUAAG